rnacentral:rRNA from 1 species
UGCCAGCAGCCGCGGUAAUACGGAGGGUGCAAGCGUUAAUCGGAAUUACUGGGCGUAAAGCGCGCGUAGGCGGUUUAGUAAGUUGGAUGUGAAAGCCCAGGGCUCAACCUUGGAACUGCAUUCAAAGCUGCUAGGCUAGAGUACGAGAGAGGGGGGUAGAAUUCCACGUGUAGCGGUGAAAUGCGUAGAGAUGUGGAGGAAUACCAGUGGCGAAGGCGGCCCCCUGGCUCGAUACUGACGCUAAGGUGCGAAAGCGUGGGGAGCAAACAGGAUUAGAUA